rnacentral:rRNA from 1 species
CAGCAGUAGCCACGGUAAUACGAAGGGGGCUAGCGUUGUUCGGAAUUACUGGGCGUAAAGCGCGUGUAGGCGGGUCCUUAAGUCAGGGGUGAAAUGCCAAGGCUCAACCUUGGAACUGCCUUUGAUACUGGGGAUCUUGAGUCCGGGAGAGGUGAGUGGAACUGCGAGUGUAGAGGUGAAAUUCGUAGAUAUUCGCAAGAACACCAGUGGCGAAGGCGGCUCACUGGCCCGGAACUGACGCUGAGACGCGAAAGCGUGGGGAGCAAACAGGAUUAGAUACCCGUGUAGUCCCUGUCUCUUAUAC